rnacentral:rRNA from 1 species
UACGUAGGGUGCAAGCGUUAAUCGGAAUUACUGGGCGUAAAGCGUGCGCAGGCGGCUUUGCAAGACAGAUGUGAAAUCCCCGGGCUUAACCUGGGAACUGCAUUUGUGACUGCAUGGCUGGAGUGCGGCAGAGGGGGAUGGAAUUCCGCGUGUAGCAGUGAAAUGCGUAGAUAUGCGGAGGAACACCGAUGGCGAAGGCAAUCCCCUGGGCCUGCACUGACGCUCAGGCACGAAAGCUGGGGGAGCAAACAGG